rnacentral:rRNA from 1 species
AUGGCGGAAGAGGGGAACAGCUCGGGCGGGCGCGGCGUCCGGGUGUGCGUCACCGGUGGCGCCGGGUUCAUCGGCUCAUGGCUCGUCAGAAAGCUGCUCGAGGCAGGGUACACCGUCCACGCCACCCUGCGGAGCAUCAGGGACGAGGGGAAAGCGGGGCUGCUGCGGCGGCUCGUCCCCGGCGCCGCGCCGCCGGAGCGGCUGGUGCUGUUCGAGGCCGACCUCUACGACGCCGCCAGCUUCGCGCCGGCCAUCGCCGGCUGCCAGUUCGUCUUCCUCGUCGCCACCCUCUUCGCGCACGAGGCCGCCGCAUCCAAGUACAAGACGUCGGCGGAAGCCGCCGUGGACGCGGUGCGCGUCAUCCUCCGGCUAUGCGCGGAAUCUAAGACGGUGAAGCGCGUCAUCCACACUGCAUCGGUGUCGGCCGCUUCGCCGCUGACAAAGUCCUCCACCGCCGCCUCUGCGGUGUACAGGGAUUUCAUCUCUGAAUCUUGUUGGACUGCUCUGGACGUCGAUUACCCUCUCCGUAACACGCACUUCGAUAAGUACAUAGAGUCAAAGGUCCUGUCAGAGAAGGAGCUCCUCAGGUACAACGAUGGCGAGAGCCCGGCGUUUGAGGUGGUCACAAUUCCCUUGGGCCUCGUCGCGGGGGACACAAUCCUCAGCCGCCUCCCGGAAACAAUUCAGAGUGCGGUGGCACCGGUGACCAAGCAAGAGCCCUACUUCAUGCUACCGAGGAUUGCACAGAGGCUGUUGGGCUCAGUGUCACUAGUGCACGUCGACGAUGCCUGCGCCGCGCUUGUCUUCUGCAUGGAGCAGCCAUCCAUCGCUGGCCGGUUCCUCUGCUCCGCCGCCUACCCGACAAUCCAUGACAUCCUGGACCACUACGGCAGCAAGUACCCCCAUCUAGAUCUCCUCAGAGAGGCUGAUGAGGUAGCGAGGGUGCAACCUGAGAGCAACAAGCUUGGGGAGCUGGGCUUCAGGUACAAGUAUGGGGUGGAGGAGAUUCUAGACGAAAGCAUCGAGUGUGCUGUGAGGCUGGGCUCCCUGGAUACAUCCAAGCUUAUCGUGCAGCAGGAGUGA